ensembl:lncRNA
GGCUGGGUGAGAAGGAGAGCUAGAGCAAUAGAAGGAGAACGCCAGACUGGGUGAAAAGGGAAAGGGGAGAGGAGAGACAGAGAGACCUAGAGACAGAGAUAAGAGAACGCAGAGGGAGAGACUGCGCGCCCGCCGAGCGCCAACUCCAUCAGAAGGCGUGCCUGCGAGAGGAGCUGUGAACUCGAGAGAUGAACCAAGUUAUACUUCCUUCUAAAAUGAUGCUUUCUAAUGAAGAAAAGGUUUUCAGAAAUGACAUAAAGCAGUAGCUUGUGGAGGAGCGCUCUGAAGACUACUGACACAGUACUUUGAGCACAGUGGGUUUUUGUCAAAGAAACAAACAGGUUUGUGGUCAGUUGAUGGAUGGCCUUAGCUGACAAUGUCCUUUGGACGUACCUGUGGCAUCUUCCACGGAGGUCUAGUUAUGGAGCAGCCGGCCAGCAGGAAGCUACCAGCUCACUGUCUAAGCACCACGAGUGAAGAAAGUCCUGGAUGGGGACUGGGAGGGAAUCGUCAGUCCCAGGACUUGCCUCUCUCUGCUCCAUUCUGUCAAAAUGUAGUGAAACAGCGGGGAUCCACCUUCCACUCCACACAGCUGAGUAUCUUCCUUGAAGAUGAAAGAACAA